GACGAACGCUGGCGGCGUGCCUAAUACAUGCAAGUCGAGCGGAGCGGCGGACGGGUGAGUAAUGCCUAGGAAUCUGCCUGGUAGUGGGGGAUAACGUCCGGAAAUGGGCGCUAAUACCGCAUACUAUCAGAUGAGCCUAUGUCGGAUUAGCUAGUUGGUGGGGUAAAGGCCUACCAAGGCGACGAUCCGUAACUGGUCUGAGAGGAUGAUCAGUCACAUGGGAACUGAGACACGGUCCAUCCUCCUAUGGUAGGCAGCAGUGGGGAAUAUUGGACAAUGGGCGAAAGCCUGAUCCAGCACUGCGGCGUGUGUGAAGAAGGUCUUCGGAUUGUAAAGCACUUUAAGUUGGGAGGCGUUACCAACAGAAUAAGCACCGGCUAACUUCGUGCCAGCAGCCGCGGUAAUAC
rnacentral:rRNA from 1 species